rnacentral:rRNA from 1 species
UACGAAGGGGGCUAGCGUUGCUCGGAAUUAUUGGGCGUAAAGGGCGCGUAGGCGGCCAUGCGUGUCUUCCGUGAAAUCCCUCGGCUUAACUGAGGACGUGCGGAAGAAACUGCGAGGCUCGAGUCCGGGAGAGGGGGGUGGAAUUCCCAGUGUAGCGGUGAAAUGCGUAGAUAUUGGGAGGAACACCGGUGGCGAAGGCGGCCCCCUGGACCGGUACUGACGCUGAGGCGCGAAAGCGUGGGUAGCAAACGGG